rnacentral:rRNA from 1 species
UACGUAGGCAGCGAGCGUUGUUCGGAGUUACUGGGCGUAAAGCGUGCGUAGGCGGUUGUCUAAGUCUGGUGUGAAAUCUCCCGGCUCAACUGGGAGGGUGCGCCGGAAACUGGAUGACUGGAGUGCCGGAGAGGUAAGCGGAAUUCCUGGUGUAGCGGUGAAAUGCGUAGAGAUCAGGAGGAACACCUGUGGUGUAGACAGCUUACUGGACGGUGACUGACGUGAGGCACGAAAGCGUGGGUAGCAAACAGG